GUGCUUUGAGGAUGUUGUUAUAAUGAAUAUGAUUGGUUUACCGCUAAAUAAUUCUUGUAAUGAGCCCUACGAUUGGUUGCAUGAUUUACAAGGAUUUUCACAACAAUAAUUUGUUUGUAGUAAAAUGCAUGCUUCGCCAAGGCGCGAAGCUCGUUUCUGGCAAAUAUUUUCCAACUUUCAGCCUAAUAUCAGGCACAAUAUAUAAUGGAAAUCGUAGUGUGAAUAUAUACAUCAUUUUGGUACUUCAAAGUUGAGACAGCUUAUGUUCACAUCGUUAUCGAAGGUAUGAAUAUAUACACACACUGUAUGAUCAAACAAACCACAGAACCAUUUGCGUUUGUGACGUUUAGUUCCUCUCAAAUACUACCACUUGUUUAACUAGUACGAAAACCUCUUGUCUGCUUCAUGUGACAGUUUAAUAUCAGUCUCAGAUGAAUAUGCAUUUUUAUAGCAGAAAUAGAGGCACAGAACGAUUGCUGUUUGUAUAGCUUAAUUGUUACAUGUUUAAAAAUUAUAAUAAUAAAAUAAGCAGUUCUUGCUGGGCUCAUAGGACACCAGGAAAUAAUAAAAACGAAUCUAAGAUCCUAUGCAAUAUUAAAAUUUUGGUUAUGUCAAUAAUUUGUGCCACUGCAGCCAACUGCUGGAGCACAGCUACUUGAAUUUUCCACAAGAAUGGAUGCCACUGACCUUCCACAAAUGGAACAUUUAAAAUAUAUUCAACAUAACUAUAAAAUUAUUUUCAGUUAAAUCUAGCAUUAGUGUUACACUGUAAAUCAUCCAUAAUUAUCACAGGUGUACAGAGAGUACACUUUUCAACCCCCUCCCACAGCGACUUAACCGAUGAAUAUUGGUUAUGAACCCGCCUACCUGAAGCAUAUAGUUUGUACACUUCAGGAAAUGUUGGUAGUUAUGGACAACCCAUAAUUGAAUUUCAUUAGCCUUUACAUCAUUGUGAAUUACCAUUUGCAUGCAUGUAACACUAACAGCAUGAUCUUUAUUCCAUACCAUAUAGGAAAAAUUGAACACAUCUGUCCUGCAGAGCUAGUACAAAUUUACAUUAGCAACUAUUGAAUCAGUGAGGGAGGUAUAAUAAAGCAAGUGUUUAAAUAAAUGCAGCCAAAUCAAAAUUGUUUGUCUCCACACUACACUUCCUCAUCAAUGGACAGCUCAAUGAGAACAAAUGUUGUGGACAACUGUGGUUUGGACAUUGCAGGCUGGCUGCACAUUUUGCAAUGAUGUACAUGCAGGAGAUCGGUUGUUGAAGCAUGAAUGAAAUCGAUUUCAAAAAAGCUCCAAGGCUUACUUUAUGAGAAUGGGUCAUUCCAGAAAACAUCCAUACCACCCCCACAGAGGAAAUAGGAAGUUAACCCCCUUCAGAUGUCCUAAUACAUUUACUAUUAUCAGAAACAAUUUUUUCUCCCCUCCCCCUCCAGACGGCAGAAAUUUCCUCCAUGGGGGGAGUAUGGAUCUUUUCUGGAACGACCCAAUUCAUUUUCCAUAUGAGUGAGAGUUCCUAUCAGCCGCAUGUGAGGAUGCAUAUUACCACCUCUUUUCUUUACCCAUGCACAGUACAGAGAAGGAAAAACAAAGACCAGAUUUUGAACCAAGUAACUUUGUUAUUUAACUUAAAACAGCACUGUAUAUAACUUUAAAUACUGUAAAAAAUGAAAUAUCAGCUAAAUACUAAUUCAGUAAGAAUUGUCUUGGUAUGGAAAUAUCUUGUUCUGUUGUAUAUGCAUUGUUGAAUUGCCAUGUCACUUUCUUGAGUAUUACCAGAAUAUUAAGUAUAGUUGAGCCAGCUUCCUAAUAUUAUGGAAUCUAGGAUAGUUGUUGACUUUGCGGUUUUCUUAAUAAUCUCAUAUUAGCAACAUUCCUAGAUGCGAAGACUAACAGCAUUCCCAUCCCCAUUAAGUUGUACAUAUACAGUUGCAGUCUUCUUGACAGUUCUUGUUUUAUCCAUAUUGAAAUUUGAGAAGCAUGAAUAUCUAAAAUAUAAUACAAUUGAUUUGCAUUUCAUUUCACAAACUGGAAACCUAAAUCUAUAUGUUACACUAAAUCUAUCCAAUUAAUUUAUUAACAGUAGAU